AGAGUUUGAUCCUGGCUCAGGAUGAACGCUGGCGGCGUGCCUAAUACAUGCAAGUCGAACGCGAGCACUUGUGCUCGAGUGGCGAACGGGUGAGUAAUACAUAAGUAACCUGCCCUAGACAGGGGGAUAACUAUUGGAAACGAUAGCUAAGACCGCAUAGGUACGGACACUGCAUGGUGACCGUAUUAAAAGUGCCUCAAAGCACUGGUAGAGGAUGGACUUAUGGCGCAUUAGCUGGUUGGCGGGGUAACGGCCCACCAAGGCGACGAUGCGUAGCCGACCUGAGAGGGUGACCGGCCACACUGGGACUGAGACACGGCCCAGACUCCUACGGGAGGCAGCAGUAGGGAAUUUUCGGCAAUGGGGGAAACCCUGACCGAGCAACGCCGCGUGAAGGAAGAAGGUUUUCGGAUUGUAAACUUCUGUUAUAAAGGAAGAACGGCGGCUACAGGAAAUGGUAGCCGAGUGACGGUACUUUAUUAGAAAGCCACGGCUAACUACGUGCCAGCAGCCGCGGUAAUACGUAGGUGGCAAGCGUUAUCCGGAAUUAUUGGGCGUAAAGAGGGAGCAGGCGGCAGCAAGGGUCUGUGGUGAAAGCCUGAAGCUUAACUUCAGUAAGCCAUAGAAACCAGGCAGCUAGAGUGCAGGAGAGGAUCGUGGAAUUCCAUGUGUAGCGGUGAAAUGCGUAGAUAUAUGGAGGAACACCAGUGGCGAAGGCGACGAUCUGGCCUGCAACUGACGCUCAGUCCCGAAAGCGUGGGGAGCAAAUAGGAUUAGAUACCCUAGUAGUCCACGCCGUAAACGAUGAGUACUAAGUGUUGGAUGUCAAAGUUCAGUGCUGCAGUUAACGCAAUAAGUACUCCGCCUGAGUAGUACGUUCGCAAGAAUGAAACUCAAAGGAAUUGACGGGGGCCCGCACAAGCGGUGGAGCAUGU
rnacentral:rRNA from 1 species